rnacentral:rRNA from 1 species
AAAGCUCAAAUUUGAAAUCUGGCACCUUCGGUGUCCGAGUUGUAAUUUGAAGAAGGUAACUUUGGAGUUGGCUCUUGUCUAUGUUCCUUGGAACAGGACGUCACAGAGGGUGAGAAUCCCGUGCGAUGAGAUGCCCAAUUCUAUGUAAAGUGCUUUCGAAGAGUCGAGUUGUUUGGGAAUGCAGCUCUAAGUGGGUGGUAAAUUCCAUCUAAAGCUAAAUAUUGGCGAGAGACCGAUAGCGAACAAGUACAGUGAUGGAAAGAUGAAAAGAACUUUGAAAAGAGAGUGAAAAAGUACGUGAAAUUGUUGAAAGGGAAGGGCUUGAGAUCAGACUUGGUAUUUUGCGAUCCUUUCCUUCUUGGUUGGGUUCCUCGCAGCUUACUGGGCCAGCAUCGGUUUGGAUGGUAGGAUAAUGACUAAGGAAUGUGGCUCUACUUCGGUGGAGUGUUAUAGCCUUGGUUGAUACUGCCUGUCUAGACCGAGGACUGCGUCUUUGACUAGGAUGUUGGCAUAAUGAUCUUAAGCCACCCGUCUUGAACCACGGACC